rnacentral:hammerhead_ribozyme from 1 species
CUCCAACUGACGAGUCUCAAAUAGGAUGAAACACGAGUCCUGGAU